UCGGGAAUUUUGGGCAAUGGGCGAAAGCCUGACCCAGCAACGCCGCGUGAAGGAUGAAGUAUUUCGGUAUGUAAACUUCGAAAGAAUAGGAAGAAUAAAUGACGGUACUAUUUAUAAGGUCCGGCUAACUACGUGCCAGCAGCCGCGGUAAUACGUAGGGACCAAGCGUUGUUCGGAUUUACUGGGCGUAAAGGGCGCGUAGGCGGCAAUUCAAGUCAUCUGUGAAAUCUCCGGGCUUAACUCGGAACGGUCAGAUGAUACUGCUUUGCUAGAGUGCAGAAGGGGCAAUCGGAAUUCUUGGUGUAGCGGUGAAAUGCGUAGAUAUCAAGAGGAACACCUGAGGUGAAGACGGUUGCUGGGCUGACACUGACGCUGAGGCGCGAAAGCCAGGGGAGCAAACGGGAUUAGAUACCCUAGUAGUCCCUGAGCGGGCUGGCAAGGCGCAU
rnacentral:rRNA from 1 species